GCCUACGGGACGCAGCAGUGGGGGAUAUUGCACAAUGGGGGGAACCCUGAUGCAGCGACGCCGCGUGGGUGAAGGAGCGUUUCGGCGCGUAAAGCCCUAUCGGCAGGGAAGAAGGAGGACGGUACCUGACUAAGAAGCCCCGGCUAACUACGUGCCAGCAGCCGCGGUAAUACGUAGGGGGCAAGCGUUAUCCGGAUUCACUGGGUGUAAAGGGAGCGUAGACGGCCAUGCAAGCCUGGAGUGAAAGCCCGGGGCCCAACCCCGGGACUGCUUUGGAAACUGUGUAACUGGAGUACAGGAGGGGG
rnacentral:rRNA from 1 species